AGUCGAGCGAUGAGCACCUUCGGGUGUGAAUUAGCGGCGAACGGGUGAGGAACACGUGAGAAAUCUGCCUUCAACUCUGGGAUAACUCCGUGAAAACGGGGCUAAUACCGGAUAUGAGAUCUACAGGCGUCUGUGGAUCUGGAAAGUUUUUCGGUUGAAGAUGAUCUCGCGGCCUAUCAGCUUGUUGGUGAGGUAAUGGCUCACCAAGGCGACGACGGGUAGCCGGCCUGAGAGGGCGACCGGCCACACUGGGACUGAGACACGGCCCAGACUCCUACGGGAGGCAGCAGUGGGGAAUAUUGGGCAAUGGAGGAAACUCUGACCCAGCGACGCCGCGUGCGGGAUGAAGGCCUUCGGGUUGUAAACCGCUUUCAGCAGGGAAGAAGCGAAAGUGACGGUACCUGCAGAAGAAGCACCGGCUAACUAUGUGCCAGCAGCCGCGGUAAUACAUAGGGUGCAAGCGUUGUCCGGAAUUAUUGGGCGUAAAGAGCUCGUAGGUGGUUCGUCACGUCGGAUGUGAAACUCUGGGGCUUAACCCCAGACCUGCAUUCGAUACGGGCGAGCUUGAGUAUGGUAGGGGAGUCUGGAAUUCCUGGUGUAGCGGUGGAAUGCGCAGAUAUCAGGAGGAACACCAAUGGCGAAGGCAGGACUCUGGGCCAUUACUGACACUGAGGAGCGUAAGCGUGGGGAGCGAACAGGAUUAGAUACCCUGNUAGUCCACGCCGUAAACGGUGGGCACUAGUUGUGGGGACCUUCCACGGUCUCUGCGACGCANCUAACGCAUUNAGUGNCCCGCCUGGGGAGUACGAUCGCNAGAUUAAAACUCAAGGAAUUGACGGGGCCCCNNA
rnacentral:rRNA from 1 species